rnacentral:misc_RNA from 1 species
GAUGAAGAACGUAGCAAAAUGCGAUAAGUAAUGCGAAUUGCAGAAUUUCCGUGAGUCAUCGAAUCUUUGAACGCACAUUGCGCCCCAUGGUAUUCCGUGGGGCAUGCCUGUUCGAGCGUCAUUUACCCCCUCAAGCUCCGCUUGGUGUUGGGCGUCUGUCCCGCUUCGCGCGCGGACUCGCCCCAAAGGUAUUGGCAGCGGUCGUGCCAGCUUCUCGCGCAGCACAUUGCGCUUCUCGAGGCACCGGUGGGCCCGCGUCCAUCAAGCUCACCCCCCCAGUUUGACCUCGGAUCAGGUAGGGAUACCCGCUGAACUUAAGCAUAUCAAUAAGCGGAGGA